UCUAACCACUAGGCUACCCUGUCGCCCUAUCAUAGCGCAAUGGUCUUUUUUACGAGCUACAAUUUUUGUACUCUCUACCAGAAAGUUGUUUGGCCCUCUGACUUCACGUAAGUUGAUACAUUGCUUUGUUUUCAUUUAUAAAGCCCUUUUACCACACCCGGUCUCAUGGAUGGCUAACUCCGGAAAUUCCUUUGGUCUCUACUGAGUUAGGCUUGCAAUAGCAGGAGAAAGAGAUCACUGGAGCCUUUUGGAUCUGAGUCAGUGGAAUCAGCUACUGUUUCUGUGUGGACCACUCUAUGCUACUCUAUGUUACCAGAGAUGGUGAGCCCUGUAGUCAUCUGUUAACGAUUUUGUUCAACAUUAUGUCUGAGAUUCUUAUAUUCAGUAAUAAUGAUCACAGGUAACAAGUCAUUCACUGGAGUUUAUAGAGUUAAUUGCUAUUAGUACCAGUGCUACUCAAAUUCCAUUUCAAUUAAUAAUAUGAUGUUUUCCCUUCCUGUUGUUUUUCCUACAGAGGAAAAACCUGCAGCGUUGGCAUAUAGUGAGUUAAAUGUUUUUGCUAAAUUAAAGUGUCAGAUGGUGAAUAUGUCUAGGUGGGAGGAAAAACAUGAAAUUUAAAGCACGCCCCAAACUAUGCUCUACGGAGGGGUACAGUCAGGAGGUGACAGGGUUAACAUCAUAGGGCUGGUGGUAGGUAUCCUUUUUGGCACUGCGGCCAUAGCCCUGGUGGUCCUAGGCAGCUGGUUUUUCCUCAAGAAGUUCCAGUGGACAGGCCCCAUUCCUUUGACUGACAGGUGUCUUGGCCAAUGACCAUCUACCAACCAACGUGUCCACCUCCGAACUGCCCAAUCUGACAGGGUGUUCGAUGGGGUUGAGAUCAGGGCUUUGUGGAGGCCAGUUGUAACGGGUGUCAUCAUCUGAAGAGGAAGAAUCGGACCAAAGCGCAGCGUGGCGUGUCUCAUUCAGGGGACUACCAGGGCUUUGAUGGAGCUCUGGGCCUGUGUCUGUGCAGGGAACCCCCAGAGAGAGUGGUGUGUGGGGGCUGGUGUAGGAGCAGGCCCAGCUGGCACUGCAUUUAGUGUGUGCUGCUGUAGACUUGCAGCUGGUCUAUAGCAACUUUGAAGGCCAGGUGAACGUUUAAGGGAGUGUGAUGCUGAAGACAGUGUUCAAACGCUUGGACUCCCAGGGGAUCUUGCAGUGUGACGGUCGCCACAAUGUCUCCCUUCCUGUGUACACAGUGCAGGCAAGUGAUGCAGAGUUCCUUGGUCUCCUCAAUGACGUCCCAGCGGAGAUUCAGAAGUUAUGUCCAGAGAAAAGCAACUCAACAGGUGACUUUGGUAUCAGAGAGGAAGGAGGGUCUGGGUCUGAUUGGUCCAGCAGAAACACCAUCUGGGGAGGAACCAUCAGCUCCAGCUCUGUGGGGAUUCUGAACCCUACUGCCUGUCCCACCUAGGGGACACACUGCUCUUCACUGUCACCAGACAACACUACCCUUAGUAUGAUGUGUAAGUCAAUCAGACUGUGGUCCUGAUAGUGGAUUUUCUACACUGCGUUCUCAGAAAUGUGUUUUUUAUUUGCAUAGGACUUGACGAUUUCUUUAUAAAGUGUCAAAACUCUUCAUCCGGGACAGGGUGCUGUUGCAAAUCAAAUGCAGUAUGGAAAACACACUAUUUGCAACAAUUAUUUCGUCCUUUGUGUGUCUAUCUGUCUAUGAUCUGUAUUUUCUUUAUCCUUUUUUUGCUACUGAGUUUCAAGCUUCCUGUCUUGUUGUCCAGAGAAAACCUGUACAAUACCAACCGUGACUUUGACUGGGGUCUUUUGAGGCUGCUGGCUGAGGACCUGACACUGGCCAGGACUCCCCAACACUCUUUUCCAUGGUCUUCACUCAAUCUGGGGUGUAUGCCUUCAAACUCAGUGGGCAUCAAUACGAACACAUGGUAUUACAGCCAUUUCUAACUUAAGUCGGGAACAUAAUCUACUUACUGGAAGUGCACAUCAAUAUAAUGAUUUUCUCUUUGAUUUUGGCUGAGCCCUGUAACCCAGUUACCCUGUUUGCUCGAACAGGGCCUUAGAUGUUCUUAUGUAAUGAACAAAAUGGGUGAAAGGUGCAAUCGUUGUAUAGUAACGCCCCGCUCUUCUUCAUUGAUUUUCUUUAUUGCGUCAUGGAGUAACUUUAAACAGAUAAAAGUGAAAUCCAUAAGCCUUCCCAAUAUCUAAAGCACAUAUGCUCACGUGCUCCUCCUACAGUAUGUGAGGGUAAUGCCAGCAGGUGGACAGUGCUAUGAGGCUGAACUGUUCUUCCCCACUGUCCCCUGUCAUGUGAUAAGGAUGGGCAUCGACAAGAGACGCUACCUGCUCCUACGCCCUGACUGGUUAGUGACAGGAGCAGUGAUGACCCGUCAUUCAGGGCAGGUGGGACAGAGCCUGUUUUGAGCUCACAUUUUCAGCAGCAACAUUUUUUUUAUAUUUAAAAACAUAUAUAUAUAUAUAUAUAUAUAUAAUUGAGUUAAUACAAACACGGUCUCUUUUGUUUU